GACGAACGCUGGCGGCGUGCUUAACACAUGCAAGUCGAACGGAAAGGCCCUGCUUUUGUGGGGUGCUCGAGCGGCGAACGGGUGAGUAACACGUGGGUAACCUGCCCUUGACUUUGGGAUAACUUCAGGAAACUGGGGCUAAUACCGGAUAGGAGCUCCUGCUGCAUGGUGGGGGUUGGAAAGUUUCGGCGGUUGGGGAUGGACUCGCGGCUUAUCAGCUUGUUGGUGGGGUAGUGGCUUACCAAGGCUUUGACGGGUAGCCGGCCUGAGAGGGUGACCGGCCACAUUGGGACUGAGAUACGGCCCAGACUCCUACGGGAGGCAGCAGUGGGGAAUAUUGCACAAUGGGCGGAAGCCUGAUGCAGCAACGCCGCGUGCGGGAUGACGGCCUUCGGGUUGUAAACCGCUUUCGCCUGUGACGAAGCGUGAGUGACGGUAAUGGGUAAAGAAGCACCGGCUAACUACGUG
rnacentral:rRNA from 1 species